UGGUUGGUUUGCGUGUGUAUCCUCCUUCUGUAUAAAAUACAUCUCCUAGCAUUGACUUUGUAGGGGAAGAAGGAAUUCCUAUUGAUAUCGACUUGGUCAUGAGGGAGAUCCUGCUACACAAUUAUGACUUCUAAUAUCCAUCCUUGAGAUUCUGGUCUGUAGCUUUGACUUCUGAUAUCCAUCCUUUGCUUAGGUUGAAGAUGUAUUCAUUCUUUUAAAUUUUUGUUUCCUAAUUUGACUUGAACUUAUGGAAAAUAUAGCUUUGGGUAGAAGAAAGUGGCAGGGAAGUAAUCAGCCAAUGUGAAACUGUUGGACAAGGCUUGAAGGACGAUAACAAUUUUGAUGAUUUAUGCUAUGGCUGAUAAUCUCCCAUUCCUUUGAGUGUAUAAACAAAUUGUAGUAAUAGAAAUGUCAACAGGUACAAGGAAGGAUGAAUUAUCCUUUAACCAAACAUAUAAAGAAAGAGAAUCUAAAUAGCCUAUCCAAAUAAAAAAGAAAAAAGGAAAAAAGAAAAGAAAGAAUCUAAAUAUAAAAUGGCCCUAGUAUAGUGUGAUGCUAGAAGACACCUGCCAUAAUUCCCCAACUGAGGACCCAAACUAAAUCCAGGCUCCUCACUUGGUCAACCUAUCUUUUACCUGGUUUGCCAAUCUAGGUUUCCAAGCAAAGAAGCACCUGGAGCUCUUGACAGGUUGAUGAUUUUCUGAAUCCAACAAUCCUAUUUGCAAUGCUCUUCUUUCCUUGAGACAUCCAUGAAAUCACAUGGAAGAACAAUAGUUGAAUCCCCUCCACCCGAAAGUUGCUGAUACCACAUAAAGAAGCCUUAAACAAUCCUCCAAUGAAACAAGAGUCCCUGGGUUAAUGGCCAAGCCGAGUGCAGCUGGUCUGAAAAAUGUCCAACCAUCCUGCCUAA
rnacentral:lncRNA from 1 species